UACAGAGGGUGCAAGCGUUAAUCGGAAUUACUGGGCGUAAAGCGUGCGUAGGCGGUUAUCUAAGUCGGGUGUGAAAUCCCCGGGCUCAACCUGGGAAUUGCAUUCGAUACUGGAUAGCUAGAGUUCGGCAGAGGGAAGUGGAAUUUCAGGUGUAGCGGUGAAAUGCGUAGAUAUCUGAAGGAACAUCAGUGGCGAAAGCGACUUCCUGGACCAGAACUGGCGCUCAGGCACGAAAGCGUGGGGAGCAAACAGG
rnacentral:rRNA from 1 species